GCUGUCUGUGAAGCUGGUGAAAAGGAAGUCAAAAUUUCUUUUGAGGAUAGACGUCUUGAUGGACUGGUUGUAAAUGCUGAGAAAAAUGGAAACAUCUCAGAUGUCAGACACUGCUUUUCUCUUUUGUCUUAUCAAAGGAGAGCUGAGAAGGAAUCAGUUGUAGAUAUGAUUUGAAGCUAUGGGUUGAAGUCAGGUUAGAAUAUGUUAAAAUUGCAAGGCAUCAGCAUACAAAUCCCAUGUUUAAAGCCUUGAGAAUAGAUGAGAUCAUCCAUGAAGAGAGUAUGAUAUAGAAGAGUAGAGGGCCAAAGAUUUAGCUCUAGGGCCAAUAACACUUAGAAUUGGUUGACUGGAGGAAGAAAAGCCAGGAAACGUCUCUCAUUAGAAGCAGCCAUUGAAGCAGAAUGAAAAGCAGAAGACUGUGUUCCUGAAAGCCAACAAACAAUAUUUUUAGGAGUAAGUAGUCAGUUAUGUCAAACGCUGCUGAAACAUUGAAUACCUUGAUAAAAAGAAUUAAUCAUUGGAUUUAAGAAAGGUAGAAGGUCUCUGGUGCCUUUGCAGCAAAAUUUUAGUGGGAGUAGUGGGGCAAAUUCCCAACAGAAAGGAGCUUGAAAAGAUACACAAUGUGGGUGUGACAGGGUUGUGGGUUGAGAUCGAAUAGAAUUGACAACUAUUGACAAUCCCUUGUGAGAUGUUUUUCUGUAAAUGGAAGUAGAGAAGCACAAAGGAGCAUGGUAUCCCAUAGCCCAAGCUUUGGCUGUGGGAUGGAAAUCCUGUGAAAUCAGAUUGUUAUGAUCAUUAUACAACUACAGAUGUGAUAAAUUCAUUUGAGACCCAAGGCUUUGAAUAGAUAAGAGGUGAUGGGACCCAGAGAAAAUGUACAUUAGAUUCUCUUAGAUAAGUUACAGAUACUAAGUUCAAUAAGGAGAUCAGAUAAAAACUUAUAAAUGGAAGUAGACUGCUAGAUAUGGUGUUCAGAAAGAGAUGUUCUCUUUUGAUUGCAUCUCUUUUUGUUCAAAGUAUAUGUCAAAAUCAUAAGCGGAGAAUAAGGGCACAGGUGUUAGAGCUUUGAAGAUGACCAAAAUAUGAAAUAAUUAGCUCAGGGAAUGGAACUGAAUGAUAAUGAAUUGGUGAGACGCAGAAUAUAAUCAGUGCCUAAUUUUUCGCUUUUGUUUGAGAUUGUGUUCUGUGAUUAUUUGGAAAUUCACAAUAGCCAUUUCUUUGUUGUUAUUGUUACAACAUCCUUAUUUUAAAUCUUGUUAAAUAUAUUUUGUUAUGAAAUCAGAUAGCCUUAUAGUUAAUAAGUAUGAUCUUCUGAGACAAGUAGGAUAAAUCCCUUAAUCUGAUAAGUGUGGACUUCUUUACAUACUCAAUAGGGAUGAUAUCUUUUGGAUAAAGAGCUUGAGUUCAAAUUCUGAUUUCACUGCUGACUAACUAAAAGGCCUUUGGCAAUUCACAUACCUGAAAAACUAUCUGUAAAUUAGAAUAAAAAUAGUUCAUAACUAAUAAUGUUACUGUGAAAAUUAAAGAGGAUAAAUCCUUUGGAAAUGUCCAGUCUCAUAAUUGGGUAGUGCUCAGUGAAGAUUAUCUGUCAAGAACAAUGGUGGUAGUGCUUGUACUGUUCAGAAUCCAGGACUUGAUAGUUGUAUAUUCAUGGCCAUUGAAGGUUUAUUUUUACUUACUACAUUUUAGUCAAAGUAUAUUAAUUAAGUCCAGAAGAGAAAAGACUUAACCUUGGUGGAUAGAUGAGUUGGUCCUAUACUUCAGUCACAUGUGAAAUUUAGCAUAUUAUUUUAAAACUAUGUAUUGGAUAGCAGCAAAAGAACAGGGAAAUUUGGUAUAAAAACUCCAUUCUGAAAGCAAAUGUGGGUUAUUUCAAAUAAAUUAUUCUUUCUAGGAAGACAGUAAAAAUAGUUUUGAUUUAAUUUAAAAAUUGUAGCUCCUAUGACUAAUAGCCUAUCGAGAGGUCCACCAGCAAAAGAAAACUUUUUGAUUGUCUACUCUAGGAACAAGAUUCUAAAAAAGACAUGGAAUUAUUGGGAAAGGUCAGUUGGCAAUACUAGUUAGAGAGAAGGUCAUAUCUUAAAAUGUCAUUCCUUCCAUCUAUUCAUAAACAAACAGGUAGUGAUCUUUCAGCGGAGAUCAGUAAGACCUCAAUAAAAUCUGGACUUUCCAAUGUGCACCAACUUCCCUUUAUGACAUUAUCUCUGCAAACUUUGUUGUUUAUAUAACCUAUAUUCCUGUCAGACUGGCCUUGUUGCUCAUUCUCUUGCAGGUCUCAUUUCACAUUUUUUUGCAUACCUUUGCUAACAAUUAGUUCUUUAUACUAAUAUUUCCCCUCCAUUUCCUCUUAUUAAAAUCCUAUUUAUUCUUAUAGUCCUAAAUCAAUGCAAAGUAUUUCCCCCUAUACUUCCCAUAGGCUUGAUGGCCUAUGCCUUUGAAUAUAUUUAUUGCACUUAAUUUUUAUCAUAGAUAUCUCUACAUAGUUACUAUUAAGAAGUAAUUAUGUGUAUUAAUUGACAUUAAUGUACUUAAUGUUAAUGUUAAGAAUAAUAUUAAGUACAUUCUAUAUGUGUACAUGUCUCUGCUGUCAAGCUCCUGCAGAAAGGAAUUUCUCUUAAAAGAUUUGGAUUCCUUUACUAAGAGGAGUUUAUACAUAGGAAUUUAAUUAAAGUUUGAAGAAGCAAGUGUUAUGGAUUCUGGGCUGUACCAGCACAGAUCUCUUCUCAGUACUGAACGAUUUAUUUUCCUCUCUGGUCACAAGAUUGUCUAGCUGAAAGCUUUUAGCCUUUUUGGGAAAUGCCUUAGCUGACAUGGCAUUCAUUUAGGGUUUUUUCCACAUCCAGUGACUGGUCAGCAUGGGAAUAGAAAGGCACAACCCCUUUGCCCUACUCGGGAUAACUCUUCUAGGCCGUUGUGCCCUCAGAUCUCCCUGAGGGCUGGCCAGAGCCUUAUGAUGGCACCACAGCUUCAGCUAUAGCUCUGUCCAUUCCUUUUCCCUUUCCUCAUGCACCCCAAGGUGUGUGCCCUAAUAAAUCUCCCAUACUCACAUCUUCGUUUCACAGUCUAUUUCCAAGGGGACCCAAACCCAUGGUAGCCCAGAAGAACGGCUGCAAACUAAAAAGUACAUUUGUUAUGUUAGGCUAAUUUGCAGGCUUUUUGAAUCAUAUCUGCUCUUAGGCAAUGGAAUACUGAGCUUAAUUUGUUCUGAUAAAUAAAUAGAUAGCCAUGAGUACACUUGAUCAUGAAGUUCUAGAUCAUCAAGUUUUGUUGUGACCAACAUUCAUUAAAAAGACAGGUUAUUACACUAACAGGAUGCAAUAGUCCUUAGGUAUUCACAGUGCUGGGCAGUUGGUUAUAUGGAGGAGUGGCUAAAUUGUUCUUAUUAAUUAAAUCCACUAUACAGCCACUAUCCAUGAACCUCAUUUUCUUGUAUUGAAUUAAUACCCAUUUUAACCUUAUCUUAUACUGGACCCAGUUAUUUUCUAUUCAAACAUUGAUCACUACAAACCUUAGUGAGAAAAAUAAACAGAGUUUUCUAGAAUUGGUUUUCUGCCUUGUGCUGUGAUGUAUUCAUGCUAAAUAAAAAUCGUAUUAUUUUUGAGAUUUUAUAUUAUAAAUUGUGAUUAACUAUUCUUGUGUGUAUUUUUACGUAGGAAACUACUUAUUUAAUUAAAAUAAGAAAGUAACCACCACCCAUUUAUGCCGUUUCACUGUAUUUUCAGAUUUUGACUCUGUGCUCUGGUUUCUUCAUAGUUCUAUUUAGGCAGAUAUAAGAUGUAGUAAUUGAAUAGUUUAAGAGACAGUAUUCAUGUUGCUAGUAGAUGGACCAAAUAUUUUGUGUUUAAGUGCCACUAAAAUGCAGACUUCAGAGAGUCUGUCAUGCUGCAUAUCUUGACCCUUAUUCCAUGUCAGUGGUCCUUAGAGUGUGAGGGUCACUGUAUGUCCAUGUGCUUUGAUGGCAACUGCACGGCUCACAGGAAAGGUCUUAUGAAAUAUGAAUAGACUAACUCCUCCACUCUCUGUACUUUUCCCUCCUUCUCUUCGCUCUAUCAAGAAUGCACAGCUGGUGAGGAAAGAUCAAAUGCAACUAGGAACUGAAAUCAGCCACUUCCUCAGCCAAGGGUUCUAAGAGAGGUACCGUGUCAUUGAAAUCAAGAAAAUGCCACAUUCCUGGCUUUUACUUGAAAAAAGGAAAUAAAAUUUAAACUUACUACACAACAAAUCCAAAGUUUUAACUGUGCUUUUAUGGUCAGUCCAGGCUGAGAUUAAGAUUAAUCUCUUACUCAUUAAAAUGUUAUUGUGAAUAUAGAUAAAUAUCUUACUUUUCUUCCAAAUGAAGUGAGCUAUAAUGUAGAUUCAAGUGAAUACUCCUGUAAAUGCUUAAAGAAUCUUUAAUCUUCCACUUUAUCCUAAUUCAGUUUCCUUGUUAAAAAUAGUUUAUUAUGUCUUUUAUUUUAGAAAUUUGGUUUAUCAAAAUUGAGCUUAUUAAUAUUUUUGCAUAAUCUUUGUUGUCUGUGUAUAAAUUUUCAUAACUCAACUUCAGAAGAUACAAUAUGAUGAAAUCAUAAGUCAUAGUGGUUUUCUGCCCGUGUGAUUUUUCCCUCAAAAAGUCGUAUGCAGGAGUUCCCAUUGUGGCACAGCGGAAAUGAAUCCGACUAGGAACCAUGAGGUUGUGGGUUCGAUACCUGGAGUCCCUCAGUUGGUUAAGGAUCCUGCGUUGAUGUGAGCUGUGAUUAGGUUGCAGACAUGGCUCGGAUCCUACCUUGUUGUGGCGUAGGCUGGCAGCUGUAGCUCCAAUUUGACCCCUAGUCUGGGCAACUCCAUAUGCCAUGCGUGUGGCCCUAAAAAGGAAAAACAACAACAACAAAAAAGUUAUAUGCAGGUUCUCUGUUUUUUUGUCAUAGUUAUACCCCCACUGCCUUGAGAUCCAUUCAUAUUUGUUGAAUGGAUGAAGGCUUUCUAAAGAAAUAGAUAAGACAGAGGAUACUUAAAUUGUGAUGUAUCUACAUAUGAUGGCUAUUUAUUUCCUGAUACCUUUGGGUCUUUUAUUAAGCAAGAGUAACACUAGGAAAUUCUCUCUAGUCUCCAUGAUCUUGCGGUUCUCUAUUUCUUCCCAGUUCUGCCCAGUAUAUUACUCUGACUCCGUGUCUUCUCACACAUUAUUUCCCUGUUCUAACGAGUGAUACUAUGUUUCCUACAGUGUUACUGAGGUGUUGAGUUAUAUAAGUAUGGGAUAGUGGGUGUUAGUAGCUGAAAAAUACUAUCAGUAGGCUUUGAGUGGAUAUAAAACUAUAAAGGCUAUUUCCCUCUUAAAUCUAGGUAGGCUGCAGUAAAACAUCAGCUCUUUUUUUUUUCUUUUUUCUUUUUUGCUCUUGUAGCAAUCCAUAACCUAGAGUGAAUAAGAGUGAAUGGUUUUUUUGCACUUUUUUUUAGGGGGGGGGCACACCUGGAGUAUAUGGAAGUUCCCAGUCUAGGGUCGAAGCAGAGUUUCAGCCACUGGCUUUUGCCACAACCACAGCCAGAGCAACACGGAAUCUAAGCUGUGUCUGCGACCUAAACCACAGCUCACUGUAGCGCCAGUUCCUUAACCCACUGAGCACGGCCAGGGAUUGAACCCACAACCUUAUCUAUACUAGUCAGACUCUUAACCUGCUGAGC
rnacentral:lncRNA from 1 species